CUUAAAUUGAAGAGUUUGAUCAUGGCUCAGAUUGAACGCUGGCGGCAGGCCUAACACAUGCAAGUCGAGCGGAAACGACAAUAUUGAAUCUUCGGAGGAUUUAAUGGGCGUCGAGCGGCG
rnacentral:rRNA from 1 species